GACGGCACCUCCUCAUGAAGAGGAUAAAAACCAUGAAAUUCACCUAAAAUCUAAAGGGCAAAAAAAAGUUUCAAGCAAACCAUCCUCUAUCUUCCUGCUAGAUAAAACAGAUGAAAAGACGGAGAAAUGUAUGAAAAGAGACGGAGAAGAAGGAAAGCCCUAGCUAAAACCCAAUUCAAAUCAAGGAUCUAGUUGAUAUCGAGGGGGAUCAUUUUGGGCUACUCAGACAAAAAAGAGGUUUGUAGUGCGCUCUGCACGCAUCAUGCGCACCAGAGAGCUAAUAUGUAAUAAAUGAAGGAGGUCAUAACGGAUAGCAACAGGCACCCCAUGUAAUCCAUGUCAAGAGAAGAAAACAGGAUAGACUAGUGGAGUAUGUGUUUUAGUGAAGUGAGAACAAAGAGAAGCUUUUGAGA